rfam:Schistosoma margrebowiei strain Zambia genome assembly, scaffold: SMRZ_contig0000826
AUCCAGUUGAUGAGUUCCAAAUAGAACAAAACGUGCGUUCUGGAU